rnacentral:rRNA from 1 species
UACGGGGGGAGCAAGCGUUGUUCGGAUUUACUGGGCGUAAAGGGCGCGUAGGCGGUCGUGACAAGUCACUUGUGAAAUCUCCGGGCUUAACUCGGAACGGUCAAGUGAUACUGUCGGACUAGAGUACAGAAGGGGCAACUGGAAUUCUCGGUGUAGCGGUGAAAUGCGUAGAGAUGUGGAGGAACACCGAUGGCGAAGGCAGCCUCCUGGGCCAGUACUGACGCUCAUGCACGAAAGCGUGGGGAGCAAACAGG